rnacentral:rRNA from 1 species
GUUAAUUCCGUUAACGAACGAGACCUCAGCCUGCUAACUAGCUAUGCGGAGCCAUCCCUCCGCAGCUAGCUUCUUAGAGGGACUAUCGCCGUUUAGGCGACGGAAGUUUGAGGCAAUAACAGGUCUGUGAUGCCCUUAGAUGUUCUGGGCCGCACACGCGCUACACUGAUGUAUUCAACGAGUAUAUAGCCUUGGCCGACAGGCCCGGGUAAUCUUGGGAAAUUUCAUCGUGAUGGGGAUAGAUCAUUGCAAUUGUUGGUCUUCAACGAGGAAUGCCUAGUAAGCGCGAGUCAUCAGCUCGCGUUGACUACGUCCCUGCCCUUUGUACACACCGCCCGUCGCUCCUACCGAUUGAAUGGUCCGGUGAAGUGUUCGGAUCGCGGCGACGGGGGCGGUUCGCCGCCCCCGACGGCGCGAGAAGUCCAUUGAACCUUAUCAUUUAGAGGAAGGAGAAGUCGUAACAAGG